GGUGAGGGUCGGGGAGGAGCAAAGCAUCUUCCGUUGCUUGUAACCACCCAGACCCAGCCCGUCCCGUCCCUGCUCACCUGGGGAGGCACCGGCAAGGAAACUGCCCGCCGGCCCGCGCCUCAGACAUUACUGAUGGUGGGUAGGCUCUUGGCCAGUCCUUACUCUGAAGAGGAAGAGAAAAACCACAGUCUUGAAACUGCAAAGUAAUGGGGUCAGUAAUUGCCAUUAGUACCUGGUACUGGACUCUCCAUGGUUGCAGCAUGAUUACCCUACCUAAGAUCCCCGUGGUUUCCAGGUAAUUCCCAGCACACACAGGAAUGAGUCAUACCUCAUUAUUAAUUUUAUUUUUUUUUAUCCCAUUCAGGCAGGAGCUAGAAGAGAUGCACUAAGGACUACAUUAAAAAGCUGAGAUUACAUUAUGCAUUAUCCUAUCAUAGGAACAGAUGAAAGUUAAAUGAGAGACAGAAUUAGCAUGGGUGCUAGAAUCUAUGCAUAUGCAAGAAUCCACCUCCAACAAAAAACUGAAAGCCCUGUUGUAGAAAUAUAGGUUGCUAAAUAAGCUAUUAGUGGUAUCUUAUACACAAAAAGGAACAUUCUUCCAUUAAGGAACACUCUGGAGUUGCAGAGAGUCUCCUGCCAGGUGGAUUAUUCACUCCAUAAAUCUCAAUUGCCAACAAACUCCUUGGCAGCCAGGAAAAGAAAACAAUGGGCACUUGGCUGCCGAUUAACAGACUAUCAAGAUACUUUAGUGCUUUCUGACUAAGUUUUGUGGAAGGCCUUAAAAAAGCUGGACAGUGCAGAAACCUUUCAAGAUCACAAAAAACCCCAGCAAUCCUGGUCUAAAAAAGAAACCUAAGGGCAAGAAACAGAACAGAGAUAAGAAGGGAAAGCAGAACCAGGAUUACAAUAAGGUACUAAAAAUACAAGUACAAUGUGAAGAGCUGUAUUUUAUUUUUGACGUUAAUAUAAUCAGCUAGUUUAGAGAUAUGAAAUUCUGCCUUACUGAUGGUGCUGCCUGGUACGUGAAAGGAAAGGAUGAAGAGGGGAACCUGGGAAAAGUAUCCAAAGAGAUAGGAGAGAGAAAGGGAAGCCACAUAAUGAAAAAAUCUGAGGUCAGCUGUGACAGAAAAGUAAUGCUUUUAAAGAACUACAAUGCCAAUAUAAGCUAACAUUAACAUUUAUAAGUGAGUAAGGGAAAUACAUAGACACUGAAAAAUGGAUUUACAAGCAAAACAAAGGAAUUUUCUUUGUUUUCUUUUAUCUUACAGUUUUCUUAUUGUUUGUCUUUCAGCAUUUACACACAUGCUGUCUGGAUGUAUAAUCAUAAGGGAAAUUAACCCUGGAUAACCCCAUGCUGCAGCACUAUUACAGAAAUUGCUCUAGAGAAAACAACUCUAGGAAUAAAAUGGGGGAUGUUCGUCGGAAAUCAAGUAAGUCACAGACACAAUAGGUCUGAAGCAUGGGAAAAUCUCUUUAUGAGAACACACCAUUAAACAUUACAAUCAAGCAUAAAAUUGCUCUGCCACUGUAUUUUGUUUUAUUUGCAUUGUUAAAUUUCUUCUCCUAACAAUAAUGGAUAGUUUAUAGCACUAAUGAUUUAUACAAAAGGAGCAGUGUAAAUGCAUUCCGAAUGGGUGGCUUCUUUCUUAAGAACUGUAGACUCAGUUUCCUUCAGCUAGAUCGCAAAUCAGUGACUCACACAAAUUUCACAUCUGCCUCAGGAUACA